GUUAGGUGAUGUGACUUCCUGUGUGUCUGUCUACUAGGUGUCCAUAACGUUAGGUGAUGUGUGUCUGUCUACUAGGUGUCCAUAAUGUUAGGUGAUGUGUGUCUGUC